rnacentral:rRNA from 1 species
AAAAGUGAAAGACGGUCUUGCUGUCACUUAUAGAUGGAUCCGCGCUGCAUUAGCUAGUUGGUAAGGUAACGGCUUACCAAGGCAACGAUGCAUAGCCGACCUGAGAGGGUGAUCGGCCACACUGGAACUGAGACACGGUCCAGACUCCUACGGGAGGCAGCAGUAGGGAAUCUUCCGCAAUGGGCGAAAGCCUGACGGAGCAACGCCGCGUGAGUGAUGAAGGUCUUCGGAUCGUAAAACUCUGUUAUUAGGGAAGAACAUAUGUGUAAGUAACUGUGCACAUCUUGACGGUACCUAAUCAGAAAGCCACGGCUAACUACGUGCCAGCAGCCGCGGUAAUACGUAGGUGGCAAGCGUUAUCCGGAAUUAUUGGGCGUAAAGCGCGCGUAGGCGGUUUUUUAAGUCUGAUGUGAAAGCCCACGGCUCAACCGUGGAGGGUCAUUGGAAACUGGAAAACUUGAGUGCAGAAGAGGAAAGUGGAAUUCCAUGUGUAGCGGUGAAAUGCGCAGAGAUAUGGAGGAACACCAGUGGCGAAGGCGACUUUCUGGUCUGUAACUGACGCUGAUGUGCGAAAGCGUGGGGAUCAAACAGGAUUAGAUACCCUGGUAGUCCACGCCGUAAACGAUGAGUGCUAAG